rnacentral:rRNA from 1 species
AGAGUUUGAUCAUGGCUCAGGACGAACGCUGGCGGCGUGCUUAACACAUGCAAGUCAUGGGGGCGGAGCAAUCCGCAACCGGCGAACGGGUGCGUAACACGUGAGGAACCUGCCGAUCUGCGGGGGAUAGCCGGCCUAACGGCCGGGUAAUACCGCAUACGCUUGCUCUGGGGAGUCCCGGGGCAAGGAAACCUCCGGGGCGGAUCGAGGGGCUCGCGGCCUAUCAGCUUGUUGGCGGGGUCAUGGCCCACCAAGGCGACGACGGGUAGCUGGUCUGAGAGGAUGGCCAGCCACAUUGGGACUGAGAGACGGCCCAGACUCCUACGGGAGGCAGCAGUGGGGAAUCUUGCGCAAUGGCCGAAAGGCUGACGCAGCGACGCCGCGUGUGGGAGGACGCCCUUCGGGGUGUAAACCACUGUUGCCCGGGACGAACGAGCGGUUUCGACCGCUGUGACGGUACCGGGUGAGGAAGCACCGGCUAACUCCGUGCCAGCAGCCGCGGUAAUUC